rnacentral:rRNA from 1 species
AUUGAACGCUGGCGGCAGGCCUAACACAUGCAAGUCGAGCGGAGCGGCGGACGGGUGAGUAAUGCCUAGGAAUCUGCCUGGUAGUGGGGGAUAACGUCCGGAAACGGGCGCUAAUACCGCAUACUAUCGGAGCAGCCCAGGUCGGAUUAGCUAGUUGGUGGGGAAAAGGCUUACCAAGGCGACGAUCCGUACCUGGUCUGAGAGGAUGAUCAGUCACACUGGGACUUAGACACGGUCCGGAUUGCUGCGGGAGGCAGCAGUGGGGAAUAUUGGAAGAUGGGCUAAUGCCUGAUCCAGCCAUGCCGCGUGUGCGAAGAAGGUCUUCGGAUUGUAAAGCACUUUAGGUUGGGAGGCGUUACCAACAGAAUAAGCACCGGCUAACUACGUGCCAGCAGCCGCGGUAAUUC